rnacentral:rRNA from 1 species
CGCGCAGGCGGUUGUGCGAGUGUGAUGUGAAAGCCCCGGGCUUAACCUGGGAAGUGCAUCGCAAACGGCAUGACUGGAGUAGAUGAGAGGGUGGCGGAAUUUCCGGUGUAGCGGUGAAAUGCGUAGAGAUCGGAAGGAACGUCAAUGGCGAAGGCAGCCACCUGGCAUCAUACUGACGCUGAGACGCGAAAGCGUGGGGAGCGAACA